rfam:Prunus persica cultivar Lovell unplaced genomic scaffold scaffold_73, whole genome shotgun sequence.
GGAAACAGUGAUGAUCCUACAGACCUGUAAUGAUUUGCAGACAUGAUUGCAAAUCUUUAUGAACAUCUAAGGGACUGAGUUCUG